GCUCAUUAUCUAGCUUGGCUGCUGCUCCUUGACAACUGGUUUCCUGGGACUCUGCUGUCCUUGAACAGAGGGAGCAGAAUGGGGGCUUCCGUCCCACCCACAGAGCCUCUGCCCCUGAGGCCGAGUCCUUCCUAAGGGUUUCUGGAGGUUGCCCACUGAAGGCCAGGCCCUGGGCUGGACAGUGGGCACCGGGGAUGGCCAAAGCAAGCAUGGCCAGGGGCUCUGGUUCUAGUGUCCGGAUGAGUCUGAGACCCCAGGAGUAGAGGGAGGAAGGGGGUGCACAGAGGAGGAGGACAGGAAGCACUUAUGCAUGAGCUGCAGGAAUCCCCGGAUACUAGAUGGUAGCUUGGAGGUCACCCAGCCUCGCCUUUGACUUUACAGAUGGGCAAAGGAGGCCCAGGAAGUCGAAUGAUUCAGUGGAAGAGGAGCAGGGCAGGACCAAAACCCAGGCGCUCCCAGAGUCCAACACAGAUAUUGGCCGACUCAACAAUAGGGAAAAUAGACAAAACCAAAUGGACACUUACAGACCAGUCCUCCCCACCCCCACACCCCCAUCCCUGGGCAUGCACAUAUGUGGGCACUCCAGAAGGUCAAAGGAAAUCUCCCACCCCAUGCGCUUUCCCUUCAUCCCAGAUGGAGAAAGAGAAGGUGCCCCUCCCCCACCCUGCGGAUGUAGGGAAAGGGCGACCAAUGACAGACUGGCAACCUGGAGCACUAGCUCCUGUCCACCCACCCUGGGGCGCUCUCUGCUCCCCACAUGGAGGCCCCAUCCAGGAAGAACCUUUCAAACCACCCAGAGGUACAGCGAGCCCCUGGGGCUCUUCACACCCAGGGGCUUCCACUUGCAAAGUAAAUCCUCAAAAAUAAUCCGGUAGAUUUCAUUUUUUGUCUUAACAACCGUGAUGAGAGCCCCUACAGAAUGGAGAAAAUCUUUGCCACCUGUGCCUCAGAGCACUAAUCUCCAGGAUAUAC
rnacentral:lncRNA from 1 species